rnacentral:rRNA from 1 species
UACGAAGGGUGCAAGCGUUACUCGGAAUUACUGGGCGUAAAGCGUGCGUAGGUGGUUUGUUAAGUCUGAUGUGAAAGCCCUGGGCUCAACCUGGGAAUUGCAUUGGAUACUGGCAGGCUAGAGUGCGGUAGAGGAUAGCGGAAUUCCCGGUGUAGCAGUGAAAUGCGUAGAGAUCGGGAGGAACAUCUGUGGCGAAGGCGGCCAUCUGGACCAGCACUGACACUGAGGCACGAAAGCGUGGGGAGCAAACAGG